rnacentral:pre_miRNA from 1 species
CACCUUUGCAGGCUGGCUGGCCCCAGGCUGAGCGGGAGAGUAUCUCUUCCAAAGGCUCGCCCUCAAGCACAGCCAGGAGC